UACGAAGGGGGCUAGCGUUGCUCGGAAUCACUGGGCGUAAAGCGCACGUAGGCGGCUUUUUAAGUCAGGGGUGAAAUCCUGGAGCUCAACUCCAGAACUGCCUUUGAUACUGAGAAGCUUGAGUCCGGGAGAGGUGAGUGGAACUGCGAGUGUAGAGGUGAAAUUCGUAGAUAUUCGCAAGAACACCAGUGGCGAAGGCGGCCCACUGGCCCGGUACUGACGCUGAGGUGCGAAAGCGUGGGGAGCAAACAGG
rnacentral:rRNA from 1 species